rnacentral:rRNA from 1 species
GACAGAGGGUGCAAACGUUGUUCGGAAUUACUGGGCGUAAAGCGUGUGUAGGCGGCCAAGCAAGUCGGAUGUGAAAGCCCAGGGCUCAACCCUGGAAGUGCACUCGAUACUGCAUGGCUUGAGUAUCGGAGAGGUUGGUGGAAUUCUCGGUGUAGAGGUGAAAUUCGUAGAUAUCGAGAGGAACACCGGUGGCGAAGGCGGCCAACUGGACGAAUACUGACGCUGAGACACGAAAGCGUGGGGAGCAAACAGG